ACAUGAAUUGCCUGGACAUUGUGUUAGAGUACAGCCUCUGAAGGCUUGAGUGGACCUGAGAGUCUGCAUUUCUAACAAGUUCUCAGGUGCUGCUGAU
rnacentral:pre_miRNA from 1 species